rnacentral:rRNA from 1 species
GAUGAACGCUGGCGGCGUGCCUAAUACAUGCAAGUCGAGCGGACAGACGAGGCGCUUGCUCCUCUGACGUUAGCGGCGGACGGGUGAGUAACGCGUGGAUAACCUACCUAUAAGACUGGGAUAACUUCGGGAAACCGGAGCUAAUACCGGAUAAUAUCUUGAACCGCAUGGUUCAAUAGUGAAAGACGGUUUUGCUGUCACGUAUAGAUGGAUCCGCGCCGCAUUAGCUAGUUGGUAAGGUAACGGCUUACCAAGGCAACGAUGCGUAGCCGACCUGAGAGGGUGAUCGGCCACACUGGAACUUAGACACGGUCCAGACUCCUACGGGAGGCAGCAGUAGGGAAUCUUCCGCAAUGGGCGAAAGCCUGACGGAGCAACGCCGCGUGAGUGAUGAAGGUCUUCGGUUCGUAAAACCCUGUUAUGAGUUAAGAACAAAUGUGUAAGUAACUAUGCACGUCUUGACGGUACCUAAUCAGAAAGCCACGGCUAACUACGUG